rnacentral:rRNA from 1 species
GAUGAACGCUGGCGGCGUGCCUAAUACAUGCAAGUCGAACGAAACUUCUUUAUCACCGAGUGCUUGCACUCACCGAUAAAGAGUUGAGUGGCGAACGGGUGAGUAACACGUGGGCAACCUGCCCAAAAGAGGGGGAUAACACUUGGAAACAGGUGCUAAUACCGCAUAACCAUAGUUACCGCAUGGUAACUAUGUAAAAGGUGGCUAUACUACCGCUUUUGGAUGGGCCCGCGGCGCAUUAGCUAGUUGGUAGGGUAAAGGCUUACCAAGGCAAUGAUGCGUAGCCGAAUUGAGAGGGUGAUCGGCCACAUUGGGACUGAGACACGGCCCAAACUCCUACGGGAGGCAGCAGUAGGGAAUCUUCCACAAUGGGCGAAAGCCUGAUGGAGCAACGCCGCGUGGGUGAAGAAGGUCUUCGGAUCGUAAAACCCUGUUGUUAGAGAAGAAAGUGCGUGAGAGUAACUGUUCACGUUUCGACGGUAUCUAACCAGAAAGCCACGGCUAACUACGUG